rnacentral:rRNA from 1 species
AUUUCCAUGGUAGCGGCGAGCGACCCGGAAUUAGCCCAGCACCGAAUCCUGUAUCUUUGGUAUUAGGAAUUGUGGUGUACAGGUUGUGUCUUUAAUUGCUGAAGGUGCUCCAAAUUCACUUGAUUGUGAUGUUGUCCAGAGAGGGUGUUAGGCCCGUUGGAGUGCACAAGGUCGUUAUUGAUGCUUCCUAAGAGUCGGAUUGUUUGAGAUUGCAGUCCAAAUUUGGUGGUAUACUCCAUCUAAGGCUAAAUACUUGUGUGAGUCCGAUAGCAAACAAGUACCGUGAGGGAAAGUUGAAAAGAACUCUGAAGAGAGAGUUAAAUAGUACGUGAAAUCGCUUAGAGGUAAACGAGUGGAGCCGAAGGUGUUGGAUUGAAUUCAGUUGAUGGGAUUUUGUAUGGGAAGUAGUUGUGUUUUUAAGGGAGCAGUUACUUUUCUAUUAUAGAGUUUCAUUGAUGCAUUUUCUUUUCAACUAUACUGCGACCGAUAGUGUUGGUUUUCUGUCGUAAUUGUGAAGCUACCCGAUUUUUCGGAAUUGGAUUUAUAGCACUUUUGCAUGGUUAAUCAAUGUAUCGUUUAAUGCGGUUGGCUAAUUUUAACGGGUCUUGAUGUGGAGUGUUUUUGAAUAGACUAUAAAUAGAUUAUUUUUAAGCAUUUUAUGUCUUGGUUUGUAAA